rnacentral:rRNA from 1 species
GACGAACGCUGGCGGCGUGCCUAAUACAUGCAAGUAGAACGCUGAAGGAGGAGCUUGCUUCUCUGGAUGAGUUGCGAACGGGUGAGUAACGCGUAGGUAACCUGCCUGGUAGCGGGGGAUAACUAUUGGAAACGAUAGCUAAUACCGCAUAAUAGCAGUUGUUGCAUGACAACUGUUUGAAAGGUGCAAUUGCACCACUACCAGAUGGACCUGCGUUGUAUUAGCUAGUUGGUGGGGUAACGGCUCACCAAGGCGACGAUACAUAGCCGACCUGAGAGGGGGGUCGGCCCACCUGGGACUGGGACACGGCCCAGACUCCUUCGGGAGGCAGCAGUAGGGAAUCUUCGGCAAUGGGCGGAAGUCUGACCGAGCAACGCCGCGUGAGUGGAGAAGGUUUUCGGAUCGUAAAGCUCUGUUGUAAGAGAAGAACGAGUGUGAGAGUGGAAAGUUCACACUGUGACGGUAUCUUACCAGAAAGGGACGGCUAACUACGUG